UAAUCCGUUAUGGAAAAUUCAUCAUUAUGAUUAUAAUAUUUAAAUUUAUUUUUAAAUAGAAUAAUAAUGGUGUGCAUUUUUUCCAUAAAAGGAACAUUGUAAUCUAUUAAUAUAUAAAAUUUUAUUUACCAAAAGAUCAUUGUGCGCGCAAGUUUGUUCAGAUUAUAUUUUCCUUAUAGAAAUAAUAAUAUUAGAACAAGGGCACGCUACCUGAUUUGGUAAAAUAUUAAUAGAAAUAUUCCCUAUGAGAAUAAAUGAUGCUUUAAAUAUAUAUGAUUAAUAUGUACAAUGUAUAUAUAUAUAAUUUUUAUAUAUAUUGGUGUAUAAUUUACUAUAUAUUCAUUUUGUAAGUUCGCAGCAUAAAAUUUAUGCUGAUGAAUUUUACAUUGAAGCAUUUUAUAUGAUUAACAGUGCGAAAGACUCAGGAUACCUUCGGGACCCGUCUUGAAA
rnacentral:rRNA from 1 species